AAGUCGUAACAAGGUUUCCGUAGGUGAACCUGCGGAAGGAUCAUUACAGAGAACCUGCCCUCCGGGGUAGAUCUCCCACCCUUUGCUUACCUCAUCCUUUGUUUGCUUUGGCCAGGCCCCGUCCCCGGGACGCCGCUCCGGCUGGCCAGCGCCUGUCAGAGGACCCCCAACUCUUGUUUAAUUGUCGUCUGAGUACUAUAUAAUAAGUUAAAA
rnacentral:misc_RNA from 1 species